UACAGAGGGGGCAAGCGUUAUUCGGAAUUAUUGGGCGUAAAGAGCACGUAGGCGGCCUUUCAAGUGACGGGUGAAAGCCCUCGGCUUAACCGAGGAACUGCCUGUCAGACUGGAAGGCUUGAGACCGGGAGAGGUGAGUGGAAUUCCCAGUGUAGCGGUGAAAUGCGUAGAUAUUGGGAGGAACACCAGUGGCGAAGGCGGCUCACUGGACCGGUACUGACGCUGAGGCGCGAAAGCGUGGGGAGCAAACAGG
rnacentral:rRNA from 1 species